AUUGAACGCUGGCGGCAGGCCUAACACAUGCAAGUCGAACGAGUGGCGGACGGGUGAGUAAUGUCUGGGAAACUGCCUGACGGAGGGGGAUAACUACUGGAAACGGUAGCUAAUACCGCAUACCAUCGGAUGGUCCCAGAUGGGAUUAGCUAGUAGGUGGGGUAAAGGCUCGCCUAGGCGACGAUCCCGAGCUGGUCUGAGAGGAUGACCAGCCAAACGGGAGCUGAGAAACGGUCCAGACUCCUCAGGGAGGCAGCAGUGGUGAAUAGUGCACAAUGGGCGCGAGCCUGAUGCAGCCAUGCGGCGUGUAUGGAGAAGGCCUUCGGGGUGUAAAGUACUUUCAGCGGGGAGGCGUUACCCGCAGAAGAAGCACCGGCUAACUCCGUGCCAGCAGCCGCGGUAAUUC
rnacentral:rRNA from 1 species